CGUCAAUAUGGAGGGACGACGCUGGCGGUCUGCGUUGCAUACAAGUCGAACGGUGUCUUCGGACACAGUGGCGGACGGGUGAGUAACGCGUGAGAAUCUACCUUCAGGUCGGGGAUAACCCCUGGAAACGGGGGCUAAUACCGGAUAGGUCGAAAGAUGAAAGGUUAACUGCCUGAAGAGGAGCUCGCGUCUGAUUAGCUAGUAGGUGUGGUAAGAGCGCACCUAGGCGACGAUCAGUAGCUGGUCUGAGAGGAUGAGCAGCCACACUGGGACUGAGACACGGCCCAGACUCCUACGGGAGGCAGCAGUGGGGAAUUUUCCGCAAUGGGCGAAAGCCUGACGGAGCAAGACCGCGUGGGGGAGGAAGGCCUUUGGGUUGUAAACCCCUUUUGUUAGGGAAGAAAAAAAUGACGGUACCUAACGAAUCAGCCUCGGCUAACUCCGUGCCAGCAGCCGCGGUAAUACGGAGGAGGCAAGCGUUAUCCGGAAUUAUUGGGCGUAAAGCGUCCGUAGGUGGCCCGGCAAGUCUGCUGUCAAAGACCACAGCUCAACUGUGGAAAGGCAGUGGAAACUGCAAGGCUAGAGUGCGGUAGGGGUAGAGGGAAUUCCCAGUGUAGCGGUGAAAUGCGUAGAGAUUGGGAAGAACACCGGUGGCGAAAGCGCUCUACUGGGCCGCAACUGACACUGAUGGACGAAAGCUAGGGGAGCGAAUGGGAUUAGAUACCCCAGUAGU
rnacentral:rRNA from 1 species